UGAACCCGCAGUCCUCGGUGAGUUAAAAGAAAAAAAUGGUUCGCGAUGCAGAUCGAGCGGCGGCGCUCCGAUGGGACCGGGAGCAGGAAGACGGCGGCGAGCACAUAAAAGGCGCGGGCGGCACACUGCCCGGCCGAGAGGAGGAGCAGGAGGGGAGGCGCUGAGGCGGGGCCAUAAGCGUCGGACGCGCUCGCUCGCCCGCAAUCAACGCGGACGCAGCGGCCAUCCAUGGCGGCUCGGGUCGAUGCAGGAGGACGAGGGGAGGAGCUCGUGAGGGCCGGCACCGGUAAUGGAGCGGAGGCGGGUGGAUCUGGCGAUUCCGCAGGGGCUGCGGCGACGAGCGGCUCCGUGUGCGGCGACCUGCGGGGUUCAAGCGACGGCUGCCAUGAAGGUUGGGCGGCGGCUCUCUUGUAGAGAAGGAAUAGAAGGAGAGGAAGAAGGAAUAGAAGGAGAGGAAGAAGGAAUAGAAGGAGAGGAAGAAGGCAGGUCACUCAAAGAGCAUUCAUCUCCUGCCCCCUCUCUCCUCUGGCAUGGCAUGAUGUGCGCGGCUGGAUGUGUGAUGUGCGUCCAUGUUCAUGUGAUCUUCAAGACAGCAGGGACCAAUUGCACCCUUGCUUUUGUUUCUGUCCUGUGAACCAGUCUAAGAUGGCCUCUAAGAAGCACUUGGCUGGUACAGAGAAAUUUUCUGUAGUCUUCAAAUAAAACAUCCUAAUCUUCUAUGAUGUGGUUUUUCGAGCAGGAAGGGGAGGUGAUGUGCGCCAGGUACGUGGUCGAGGAAGUGAACACCAGUUUCAGCUAUGUAGUGUUCUGUGGUGAAUGAGAAUGUUUCAUAGUUUAUUAUAUUAAUCUAAAUUUUGGUUUUACGUUUUUGCUUCACAGAUAUUUUUGAGUAACUUUUUUCCAAACUAUGUACUAUACAUGUGGAUUUUUUUUUGCGGGGAUACUGCAUGUCCACUUCUGAGUACAAAUUCUAAAUUCGUAUAUGAAACCUUAAUUCAACUCCUACCAUACAAAACUAAUUUUGUGGUUCAGUUGUUUAAGAGCUCAAAUAGGAUGUGUACUGGAACCUCAAGGAAAAUGAAAAGAAGAGUAGGAGCAGGAGCUGGAGACGCAGCCGCACAAGGUCGAACCGGCCACAUAGAUCCUUUUAUUCUGCAACUAUGACAACUCUGGCAAGACCUUUGUUGAUGUGGCUGCCUUGAGGAAGCAUGCUCAUGUACAUGGCGAGAGGGGAUGUAUGUUUUUCAGUAGCCCGGCUAUUGGAAGUAAUUCCAGGCUUUUUAUAAAGGACCUUUCUCUGUUUGGCAUAGAUUAAUGAUUUUGGUACAUCCAUCCAUCCAAUCCAGAUGCCGCUGAUGAACAAAUAGUGAUCCAGUUUGGUCGGGUUAGAUAUAAGUUUGGUCUCCGCUCGAGCUCCUGUUGUUGCUUGGAUUUUCCUUUUCCCCUCUCAUCCAACCGCAGGGGCCUGUUAUUUUUUUCAUCUAGAUGAUGUUGUGGUCGCCCGGCCGAUCAAAUCCUCGCGCACACACAACAACUCAACUCCACGGUCUGCACGCAGCAGCUCAACACCACGGUCUGUAUGCCACCGCCGCCUCUUGAGCAGCUCGAUGGGCGAUUUAUGUUAUGUAUCUCUAUAUGAUAAUCCCUCCAUAGCCAUGUAGAAAAAGGCUUCGAUUUGAUUUUAGUUCAGUUUAUCAGCGUGGUGAUGCUCACCCUAAUAGGUGGUGUGUUGUUAUACUGUAUUGAAUAAAUGAUGGGCACUGAAUUUUCCAUGGAUUCAGUAGAGGAGAAGAAUCUCACCUACUUGCUAGCUUCCAACUUGAAAUAGUGAAGACACCCAUUUUCAGAGCAGUUGCACUCACAUGUGUCCUGAAUCAUUUAAUUUCUUUGUUUCGUGAAUAAAUGUUGGUUGGUGCUCUUGCUUUUUUACCAUGGUAACUUUGUAAACUUCAGAAUGCCUAAAGUUGAAGCUCACAUGCUGGAGUGUUUAUGCACAUCUGAAGUUGGCACAUUCAGUUCUGCAUAUAUCGAACAGCCUUCAAAACUUCUGAAAGCAUAGAGCUGGAGAACCAUCCUCUAGACUCUCCUGUAUCCCCACAGAUUAUUUUGCUUCCAAACUUCUGAUAAACACAGCAGCUUCCAAUGCAAUUUCACUUGCCAGAUGUUGUUAUUCAGGAGGAGGAUUUCCGUAGUAUCCCUGGGCUGGAAUAGAAUUCCUUGAUUUGACGUCAAGCAUUGGCAACUGCAGAAUACAUUGUCUCGAGGUACAAUCACACGUGAUUCUCAAACAAUCAUUGAUUCAUGAAUUGCAGCAGGGUGAACCCAAGAUGUCCGGAGCCUCUCUUGUGAAUCACAUUGCUUACAAUGAUUUCAUGAUUGAGGAUUAUACGAUUAUUAAAGCACAUACAUCGAAGUUUUAAUAUAGGCAGGUUGCGUGCACACGCACCUCUUUGCCCAGGUGUACUUGAUGACACAUAUGCCCUUUGUAUGGCUGGUAAACAGAAGGUGGUCACGUUGCUGCAUUUGAUUGUUGCGUACAAGGAUGAGACUGAGUAUAAUGUGCUUGCACAUGCCAUCAACUCACUACUCUUCCUAUUCUAAUUAAUUUUUGUUGUUCCUAAACUUGAUCUUGUUCUAAUGAUCAUUUAUCAUGCAGUCUCUUCUAGCUUUUCAGAAAUCCGUCCCUUGCAAGUGAGGUGGCUGGGAUGCCAAGAGUGGGGAGGGUCACCUGAAUACACUGUUAAGAGGUGUAAAGGAAGUGAAGUGUGAACCCAGUGUUUCUUUUGACUACUCCAAGUCUGAAAUGAAUUCCAUGAGGAGGAAAAGGCUGAAUUGAGUGCUUGAAAUAAAGGAGGAGCAUCCUAAGAAGCAGUCAGGUUGGAGAAAAAGAUCAGAGUUUCAUCUGUUGUGAAAGUGGAAGGUAAUUAGACGUCAGAAGAUUACAAGGAAAGAUAAAGCGGAUAAAUUUACACGGAAUCAUACCACAUGAGCUCACAUCACGGCCGUUGUCCCACGACACAGGUUCUUGCCAACCAUGAUUCAUAGGAUAGGAAGUGGUGCUCUCUCCUGGUGCAACGCACGGGCAUUUGUGCUAGUAUCACAAAACAACUGAGAACAGACAAACAGGCAAUUGUAACAUUGUAUGGGCAAGUCCAGCACGGAACUAGAUUACAGGUCAAAAUCAAAGGAACAUCACUUCUCUCUUUUAAA